rnacentral:rRNA from 1 species
UACGAAGGGGGCUAGCGUUGCUCGGAAUCACUGGGCGUAAAGCGCACGUAGGCGGAUUGCUAAGUCAGGGGUGAAAUCCUGGAGCUCAACUCCAGAACUGCCUUUGAUACUGGCGACCUUGAGUCCGGGAGAGGUGAGUGGAACUGCGAGUGUAGAGGUGAAAAUUCGUAGAUAUUCGCAAGAACACCAGUGGCGAAGGCGCUCACUGGCCCGGUACUGACGCUGAGGAGCGAAAGCCAGGGGGAGCAAACGGGG